rnacentral:lncRNA from 1 species
CUUCCCAAAGUGCUGGGAUUAUAGGUAUGAGCCACCGUGACUGGUCCUUAGCAUUCUAGAGCAUUCUAGUCCCCUCCACGUUGGACACUAUUGGAAAGACAUUGGGCGCUACCUAGCUACCUCUUUGUCCUGCUGACCCCACUGCAGGAGGUUUCUGGGAGCUCCAUCCAACCUGGUGUGUUCAUCCUGUGGAGGCUGCAGCAGAAGGUACUGGAGACACUGGUAGUAACAGCUCCAUUUUAAAGAGGAGGACACUGAAGCCCAGGCACUCUUUCAGUCCUGCCAUUUGCUGGGUCCUGAGUUCUUGUCCUGCGUCCAGGAAGAAUGAGGUACGAGGACAACUGGAGGGUGAGCAAGGUGAAGAGGUGCUUUAUUGAGCGACAGUACAGCUCUCAGGAGACCAGAAGUGGGUAGCGCCUAUCCACAGGCAGGUUGUCCUGACAUCUCUGCGAGUCCGGGGUUUUUAACGGGCUUCAGAAGGGAGGAAGUGUGUUCCUCCCAUGGAUGGGCCCAGAAAAAGCCCAUAAGUUCUCACUCUGGGCUGCAGACUCCACCUGGAACUGACAGCCCAGCCCCCAGGUUUCAGGCCAGCCUGUCCCUGGCUUGAAGGUGGGGCUUCACUGGAGACCCACCCCUUUCUGCCCGGGAGCCUGUCUGCCUCCUGCUGCCACCUGUUUAAUACAUGUCAUCCACGGUGCCCAGGCUGUUUAUGCAAAGGGGCUCCUGCAGGCCUGUGCCAAGCUGCCCUCAGCUCCCCCUUGGCCUCCCUCCCAUGUUUGUCAGUGACCAAAGUCUGGAGGGGCUGAGAUGGCAGGAGGCUGGUAUGUCAGCACUGCUCUGCGUGUGCAACACCUGGCCGGGUUGAGACAGUCCCCAGGCUUGGCCACAGCUUUGCUCUGAAAUCGAAGUGAGUGCUGGGAGCAGGGAGAGGCCAGACAGUUGGAGCAGGAACUUCUGAGCCUGUCGUGGCGGGGGCUUCCCCGACCCCUGAGAACUUAGGGAUGCCCUGGUCUGGAGCCAUGGCUGGGCAGCUGCAGCUGUACCGGAAGAGCACGGGGCUCCCACUCCACCAACUCACAACAGGGCAGGCAGGAGCCCUGCCUGUUCCUGGCUCCCACCAGCUCCGUGGAGUGCACAGCCCUGGCUGCUUCUCCCCCACUGCAGCCAGCGUCUUCACAGCGGCUGCUCCAAACGGGCGCCACUGGCAUCAGUAUCCCCAGGAUCCCCUAGAGCCAUCCACUCAUUUCUCCGUCUCUGAAGUGCUGUAUUGAUCCCUGUAAUCCAGUAUUGUCAUUGUUUGCCGUCACUGUCAUGGCACUCGAUUUCUUCUACUUGAAUGUGAGUUCUUCAAGGGCAGGGACCAUAUCCUGUGAAUCUUGUGUCGCCAGUGCCCAGCACGUAGCAGAAGUCAGUACAGAAGACACAUCAACCACUGAAGUCGGUUUGCAGACCAGUUGUCCCAUGUAUCUAAUGCUGAGUAACAACCAUAAAAUUUGGUGGCUUAAAACACCAUUUAUUUUGAGCAAUAAUCUAUAAUGUGAACAGGGAUUGGUGGAGACAGCUUGUCUGUGUUCCACUUGGUAUCAACUGGGGAGCUAGAAGUCCAGGGGCUGAAGUUAUCUGAAAGGCCCCCAUCACAUGCAUGUCUGGCACCUGGGCUGGGAAGACUCAAAUAUCUGGGGGCUGGAACAGCUGGGGGUCCUUGUGCAUUUGUUUCCC